AUCAGGAGAGGACAGGAAAGAGUGGGCAGGGUUUUAUCAAACGUUUUACUGUCUUUCAACUUGUCGCUGUCCUUACACCUCACUGCAGCAUCCCUUCUUCUCGGGUGCUUCUACUAUUAUACCCUGCAAUUAUAAAGCAAGACUAUAAACAACCAAUAUUUCCUGAAUGAGAAGUCAAUCCCACCUUUUCUAUCAAACGUGUCAAAGUUCAAUCAGAUUGAACCAAAGGAUGAAGAUCAAUGUUUCGUGUCUCGUUCCACAUAGAAAUGAUUAAAGUGGAAUCCAGUCUGACUGCACUUUAGUAUGGUCGCUGACAGUAUCAGGUAGGUGUUAACCUGCUUAUCAGACUCAAACUCAUUGUUGAUUUAACACUAAAUGUCUUACAAACUGACACUGCAAUAAAAGAGGGAAAGGCGUGUCAGUUGAAGCAAUAGAGGACAUGACAGCUGGAGGUUAAGAUGAAGCAACAUGAGGUAAAA